UUCCUUUUCUUGAACCCUAGCCACUCGCAUAUAUAAGAGAAGCUUUCCUUCUAUGACAUCUUUUUGAUGCACACGACCAAGAGAGAAUGAAAAAGAGAGGGAGCCAACGUGAUAGAAAGGAUAAGAACAAGAUCAGCUUAGGGCAACGUUAAGGGUUUCAAAUUAUCAAAAUUUGGAAGGAACACUAGGAGUUUGACCACUUCAAAGGAAGGUAACAGAAAGGGAAAAUCUCAAGGAUGAUGAGAUGGAUAUGACUCGAUACGUGGGAACGUCGUGUUUGGCAGAGUUUAAAAGUGUUUAACUAUGUUUUGGUUGUUUUAUGACAUUAUGCGUUAUACUUGAAAUGUUGGGAUUUAUUUAAAGUUUAAGACUAUUUCUUGUUUUAAAUGUUUAAGAAGCCCCACACACUAUUUUAAAGGGAG